rnacentral:rRNA from 1 species
AAGGGUGUACGGUGGAUGUCUUGGCAUCGAGAGGCGACGAAGGACGCGACAGCCUGCGAUAAGCGUCGGGGAGCCGGCAAAUAGGCACCGAUCCGACGAUUUCCGAAUGGGGAAACCCCACCUAUAUGGUGACUCCCGCCCGAACGCAUAGGGCGGGUAGAGCGAACGCGGCGAACUGAAACAUCUAAGUAACCGCAGGAAAAGAAAGAGAUAUCGAUUCCGUGAGUAGCGGCGAGCGAAAUCGGAAGAGCCCAAACCGGGAUUCGUCCCGGGGUUGCGGGCACCUCGAGCCUGAAAUAGUUUAGUCGAACCGGAUGGAAAGCCGGGCCAGAGCGGGUGACAGCCCCGUAGGCGACGACGAAAUAGGGCGUUGAGAGGUGUACCAGAGUAGCGCGGAGCUCGUGGAACUCCGCGUGAAACUGGCCGGCCCACCGGCCAAGGCUAAAUACUCCUCGAUGACCGAUAGUGAACGAGUAGGGCGAUUGAACGAUGAAAAGCACGGCGAGAGCCGAGUGAAAAGUACCUGAAACCGUACACUUACAAGCGGUCGGAGCCCUAUGGCGCGCAAGCGCAACGGGUGACGGCGUACCUUUUGCAUAAUGGGCCGGCGAGUGCACGUAUGCGGCGAGGCUAAGCUGUCAAGCAGCGGAGCCGAAGCGAAAGCGAGUCUUAAAGUGGCGCAAGUGCAGCAAUGCACUGUAGUCGCGUGCGUGCGGCCCGAAACCCCGUGAUCUACCCGUGGCCAGGUUGAACGACCCGUAAAAGGGUCGGGAGGACCGAAGCCGUGACCGUUGAAAAGGUCUGGCACGAGCUGCGGGGAGGAGUGAAAGUCUAAUCAAACGGGGAGAUAUCUGGUUCUCUCCGAAAUGCCUUUAGGGGCAGCCUCGGACCAUUACCCAUCGGGGGUAGAGCUACUGACAGAGGAUGUGGGGCUACCCGCCUACGCACCUCUACCAAACUCCGAAUACCGAUGGGCGUACUCCGGGAGUGAGUCCGCGAGGGAUAAUCUUCGCGGUCGAGACGGAAACAACCGAGACCGUCAGCUAAGGUCCCCAA